CCUCCUGUUUAUCCCCUUGCAUAUGCAGCAGUAGAAGAUACUUGUAGGAAACCCAGCUAGAUAAAGCCUAAAACAACAACAAUAACAAAAAAAACAGUAAUAUAAAGAGCCACGUGGUAUCAUUAACCGGAAGUGUGGACAAAUUAUAAAGCCAUUAGCCACCUCUGCCAUUGCAACUGUGCUUGCAGGUGCCCUAGAUGCUUCUGGCUCCUGCUGGAUUAGAGCUGUAACUUAAGCUGAGGGUUUCCAAAUAGCAAGAUUAGAUAUUCAGAGGAUGUUUACCUCCUGUGAUGUCUGGUUCAAGCACUUCAUUGCAGGCGUUCUACGAUUAUCCAAGACAAGUGGAGGCUUCCAGCGAUCGUAGUUUGUUUCUAUCACGUACCACGUGCCUUUCUUUAUAUCGAGGCUGGAAAAGAGGUGUACAUUUGUGGUUUGCUUCUCUCAGUAUAUGUCCCUAAAAACCAGAUCUUUUUUGGCAGAUAUAUACAUCUGAUAUAUAUAUGAUUCUAAAGAACUAAGUUCUUGCACAAUAUAAGGAAAAACGUGACAAUUACUGGAGGAGCCUGUUCUCUUCUGAAAAGAGGAGCUCUGUAUCAGGUCAAGCAUACUCACUCCCAUAUAUCCAGAGCAGCUGUCCUGGAGCGAGUUAUCACACAGCCUUCUCCAGAAUUUUUUCCCCCGAGUAUAAAGUAAGCCGGAGCCAGCAGUCUUGUUUUUGCCAGUUUGUCUUUUGCAUCUUGGUAACUCGUAGCAUUCUCUAGUACUGAUCUUGUAAGAAAGCCCAUCCACAUACCAUCUCUUCUACCAAGAAACCAUUCAAAGAUACCAAUAUAACCACCAUCAAGACUGAAACGCUCAUUCAUUGUCAGAGUGAACAAAUCUGGUUUGACACCUGACACCAUUCCUAUGUAUCCUGCAAAGUUUGUAGACCUAAACACUGUUUUGUUGUUUCUCUGGAAGUCCAAGUUUACCACCGUAGGCUUCAGUUCCCGAGUUACAGUCCAGGAAUUAUUUUUAACAUCCCACCCAAGGAAGAGUCCAAAAUCCAAGUUUCUGGCAUGAUACAGCUUUCCUCUGCUAUCUUCUGCCACUAUGGAUGUGCACACAGUAAAAAUUUCAUAGAAGAUGUUAAAAAUAACAAUCUCCCCUAGAAUAAAAGAAAAAAUAAAUUAAUUUGAAACUUUUGCCAAGAUCAGGAAAAAAAAUAAGAACAAAAUUCUACUGCAAAGUUCAGUAUUCUGUAGCAUUUCUAUUAAGAGACGGUUUUAAUCCUGUUUGAUGUUUGAAAUGACCAGUUUAGCAAAAGCAGGAACUUCCUGAAAGGCCUUCUGCCCUACUAUACAGAAAGCGGACAGCUACUUCCCC
rnacentral:lncRNA from 1 species